rnacentral:lncRNA from 1 species
GGCACCUUCUCUUGCCAUCUUCUGUGUAUUAUAACCAUUUUUGGGGAGGUUUGGUGCUUCUUGUUCAAAAUUGAAGUCUUGUAGCCAAAAGUCAAAAUCAUAUUCUUCUAAAAUUCACUUGAAAAAUAUUUCCUUUUACAGUUGAAUUAAAGCAAAUUACUUGGUUAAUUAAUGUCAAAGGUGACUCUGUUCUAGAGAUAUUUUCUUUUCCAAAUGACCGAAACUCAACUCAAACUAGCUGAAGCAAAAGUGGAUAUUUUUUGGCUCACAUAGCAGAUGGCCAAGGGUCAGAUAUGUCAGCCACAGCUGGAUCCAGGGUCCAUGUCGUCAGGUCUUUGUCCUCCCCUGUGAACCAAGAAGUGAGCCCUCACCAGACACCAAAUCUGCCAGCAUCUUGAUCUUGGACUUCCCA